rnacentral:rRNA from 1 species
CAGUCGCCGCGGUAAUACGAGGGGGGCAAGCGUUGUUCGGAUUUAUUGGGCGUAAAGGGUGCGUAGGCGGUUUGGCAAGUCUUGUGUGAAAUCUUCGGGCUCAACCCGAAGCCUGCACGAGAAACUACCGGGCUUGAGUAUUGGAGAGGUGAGUGGAUUCCCAGUGUAGAGGUGAAAUUCGUAGAUAUCUGGAAGAACACCGAUGGCGAAGGCAACCUCCUGGGCCUGUUCUGACGCUGAGGCACGAAAGCGUGGGUAGCAAACAGGAUUAGAUACCCCUGUAGUCCCUGUCUCUUAUACA